AUGUAGAAUAGUUGACUGAUAAGUCCUGCCAAGACAGGGUGAUCAACCCUUCAAAAAUCUGCAUUUCAAGUCUGUCAGUUGAUUUUGGGCCAGAAGGCUGAAGACUUGCACUCACAUGUUGCUAACAGAGGACUGUGCUAGUGGAGAUUUGUCUCUACAACCUCUCAGUUCUGGAAGCCAUGUUAGGCUUCCUAUGUGUAUAGUUAUUUGGUCAUUCUCAGAUUUCUGACGGGAUUGAAGACAUUAUAUUCUCACAGCCUAUCAGGCUGUUUAACUUUGAAAAUACAUAUUUUAUUAGAUAGUUAUCAGAUAGUAUACAAGCUAGCCAAGAUAUAAUAUAGAUUUUAAGCCUUUAUUAAGCUGGAAUGGUUAACUAAAUGUUCUGUUUAACUGAUAAAGUGUUGGACUGGGUGUUAGAUAUAUUUUAUGCUUUUAAUUACAAAAUGAUAAUAGUUGUGCUCAGCUUAUAUUUGAGAGAAAAGUUUUUUUUUUUAAAUUAGACAAAAAGGGUGAAAUGUGGGAUGAUGACACACGUGAGGCAGGCACAAGAUAGAAUGAGGCCUGUCAUUGGAUGAGAAGGAUGGAUGGGUGGGAGAAAAAUUUGAAGGAAGAGGAGGAGUCGGGAAUGGAAAAGGAGAGGAAGGAGAGAAGCCAUGGGGGAGAGAACAUGGAGGCUGAAGUUAAGACUCCAUGCUGUGCCUUUACAGGCCUAAGUUCCUUAAUGCAGAAACUGAAUUCUACACCAGCCUCACGAGAUGGCUCUGUUGCGUCUUUUAUAGGGAAGUCAUGAAGGUACAGCAUGAUCACAUGUCUAAGUUUGCACAGCAGUUAAGAAUCGAAGCUGGCUCCAAGCCCAGAAGUUGCCUCAGACCUCUCACCCAUAUAAAGUGUUUUUCCGAGGACCCAUGAAAUACACUCUCCUUCCUAUGGUCUGGUAGGAUUAUAUUAGUACCUGCUUUGGAGCGAGUUCUCUGAGAAACAAUAUCCACAGGCCUGGCUCAAACGACAACUACCCAGUGGAGGUUAUCUGGGAUGUAGAAGGGACUACCUGGGGCCUAGAGCCAUGUGGCCACUUCCCCCAUUAUCUCCCAAGGGUUGUGGUGUCAUGAAAGAGAGACUGUAGCCAGGCUCUCGGUAGCCACCUGUGUCUUGCAUGAACCCUUUGCAAACUGUGUUACUGCAACACGUUUAUUGCUGGAGACUUACUAGUCUCAGUUAAGCACACCAGGCCUCUUGCUUGGCCGCUGCAUUCCCUCUGGUUGCCCUGUAAAUGCACUGCAUAUUGACUUCAUGACUGCCAUCUUGGUUUCCUUUCUAGAUGGAGAAUCUAAGGGGCGAAUGUUGGUUGAUUCUUCUCCACAGACUGCUGGUGCUGGAUAUCACAGAAGACAUCGCUGUAGACCUCCCACUCCGAUCUUACAGUCACUCCGGACAGUCUAACUGAAGCCCGGGUCACUACAGUGCCACUGAGACCUCCAAGGAAGGAGAUGCCAAGUAGUGCUUCAAAGCUUCGGACCACAAUCAAACACAGCAUCCUUUUCAACAGAAGCAGAAGCUCAUCUGAAUAUGCUCAAGGAUGCUGACAUCAACAUUUAAUCAUCUCCUCACUCAUCCAGGAAGAAGGGGAGAUCAGUUACUACUGUACUUUAUUGUGUUCAACCAAAUCACCAUGUUACAAAAAUAGCAAGCUGCCAUAAUAAAAAAUAAGGCUCCUCUAUCCAGCACCAGAUAGCAUCAUUUUACUUUCAAGCCUAGAAAUUGCACACUUGUAUAUAAACCAACCGAAGAUGAGGAUUGAGAGUUCAUCUUGGUGGAUUUUUCCUUUGAUGAAUAUGAAGUGUCCUUCCUUAUCUUUUUUGAUGACUUUUAAUUGAAAAUUGAUUUUAUUUGAUAUUAGAAUGGCUACUCCAGCUUGCUUCUUCUGACCAUUUGCUUGGAAAGUUGUUUUCCAGCCUUUCACUCUGAGGUAGUGUCUGUCUUUGUCUCUGAGGUGUGUUUCCUGUAGGCAGCAGAAUGCAGGGUCCUCAUUGCGUAUCCAGUUUGUUAAUCUAUGUCUUUUUAUUGGGGAGU